rnacentral:tRNA from 1 species
GCAGGGGUGGGUGAGCGGUUAAUACCACCAGACUGUAAAUCUGGCGCCCGAAAGGGCUACGUAGGUUCGAAUCCUACCCCCUGCA